ensembl:rRNA 5S_rRNA 5S ribosomal RNA
GAUUAUGGCCAUACCACCCUGAGAAUCUCUAAUCUUGUCUGAUCUAGAAAGCCAAGUAGAGUUGGGCUGUGUUAAUACUUAGCUGGGAGACUAAUUGGGAAUACCAGGUGCUGUAUGUG